GAAGAGCGCCAACUUAACUCCAACACCAACCAACCGCGCAUUUACUGUAGGCUUAUGAGCUAUAUGAUAUGAGUAUACGUCCGGCCAGUCCGUGGUGUCUUUGGACUACUUCAGCAUAAUCGGUUCAAGCCCAAUGUUAUUUGUGUGCAUCAUAUAAUAACAAGGAAUUCUGCACUACUGAGUCAUAUGUUUGAGGUCAUGGGCAGUUUUAACAUUACAUUAGCAAUGACCACAAUUGAGUACAAGGCACAAGCUGAGAAAAGAAAUCAUGUCUGAUCCAGGCGCCACGUCAACCGCAGAAUUUUAAUAGCAGAAAGGUGUUCUCAAACAAGGCAAAUAAUCAGCUUUUGGAUACGUCCAUGUCGAGUGCCCUUUGACAGAAGGAAUGUGAUAAUACCGUAUGGGUACUAGUAUUCAACCCGGCAUAAUUCAAAGAUUUUGACAUAUUCCCCUAAAUAUUUAGAAAUAGGGAAUUUAUCUUAAUUUCACACCUUUAUUUCCAGGGUAAUCUGUUGUCGAUAUUUUCUUUGUCAAUCUGUCGACUGUAUGCGCGGAGGAUCGAAUUAUGCGGCGAUGGCCUUUUGCACUGAAUGGUACUAGUAUUCAACCUAGUGAGGAUUGAUAGCAAAUCUCAGAAGGGUUUAGAUUGCUAAAUUAGAUCAAUCAUCUAUGUAAAUCUCUGGCUUCUAUUAAUUCCGUUUGGUCUCAUCUCAAAUGGUCUAGUCCAUAGUCGGAUGGGACAAGGGCAGAUUGAGAGAUAGGGCCAUCUUUCAUCGCUAGGUUGAAUACUAGUGCCGACGGGUUGAAUACUAGUACCAAAAUCCGUCGCCGUAUAAUUCGAUCGCCCGCGCACACAGUCAAGUGGUUGAAGAAAAAAAUAACGGAAAAAGAAUAACCAGCAUUUGCUCUUGGAAAUAAGACGGGUCUGAAAUUCAGGUAAAUUCUAUAUUUCUAUAUAUUUAAGGAAACUCUCCAAACGGGUUGAAUACUAGUGCCCUUACGGUACAUUCAAAACAUCAAUUAGGGUCCUACAUGUAUAUUGGAUAACAUGAAUGAGCCAAUCAAUGACUGGACUUAUUUUGAAUAUCUUGAUACCAUCAUGCUGAAAUCAAAAGGACCUUUAUGUAAGCAUGAGUGGUAACCGCAAAGACAGCUAAUGACGAUGAACUGGAGAAGUGGGAGCAGAUGGAAAUUUCCGCAGGUCAGGCUGUCACCAAGGCUGCUGCUCAGAAGAGUUAAUCCGGUGUCGACCAAGACUUCUAUCCCAUUGAAUACAUUAAUGGAUGAUCCUGAGCAGCAACUGGGUGAGGAAUGGAGUUUUCGUCCGGAGGCAAUAGCAGGUCAGGUGGAGAGGAGAAUGUUGCUUGGAAGGCAUCCGCUUGUGGUUCUCUUAAAGUGAGAUGAGGUAUGACUUCAUUGUUGGUCAUUUCGAUUUCCCCUGGAGAGGACCCAUGCAGUUUGACCGUGAAAAGGAAGAGAGUGUGGCCAGGGAUGUGAACAGUGGACUUCAGGCGCCUAAUACACCAUGCUAAUACUAUUUUUGGGAAGUCCACCCGAUGCAGCUUCAUCAUCAUAGAUGAUCAAGGAUCCAGCUGAUCAUCCUGCAAGCCGGCUGGAACCCAGGGGACCUUACGUUACUUGACGCGAAUGUUCCCAACGACGAUCAAUGCUCCGAUAGCAUGUGAUGGAAAAAUUGGUCACAGAAUCAGUGCAUUUUAUACCUUCCAUGCAUGUGGCAAUGCUAAUUUUAUAUUAUUCAUAUAAAAUAAUGUAAAGAACAAGGUUAAAUAGAAGGCAGGGUCGGAUCCAUCUUUUGUCAAUAAGGGGAGGGGGAUGGGGGUGAUAUUUUAUCCUCAUUUUCCCUGAAGCAUAAGUAGUUGCAAUUUAUAGGGCACCAAGGGGGUAUAAAGAAUGGAGAGAUAUGUAUCAAAUGUUGUGACAAACUCUAAAAAUAAAGGGACUAGAGUGACUAUCUUGACAGUUUCUGAACUUUCAGUGGUGAAACCAAAGGAUUUUAUGCACAGUUUGGUGAGUUUCAAUCUGAAAAUGUAACUUUCCAAAUUUUUUCCCUUUACUUGAGAUGGGGGGUUGGGGUGCAGGGGCAACUGCCCUUCUUGUUUGCAAUGCUGUUUAUGACCAUGAAGGUAACCCCAACUCUCUCUUACCUCAUAAACGUAUAUUUUGGGGCAGGCGGUGACUUGAUCAAAUGAACAAGAUACCAGUAUCUGAGUAUUGAAGCAAAAUAUUUUUUAAUAAUAAAAGAAAAUGCAUUUCUUCACAAAAUUUGUAUUUCAAAAUAGUAUAAACCUAAAGGUAAACUGAUAUUGUGGCACCAAGUUGGUGUGUUUAGAAAAUGAAUUUCCGCUUGAACAUACAUUUUAGAAAAUAUUUUGAAUUGAUAAAUUUUUUGGAGCACCCUGCAUAUUUAGGGACCACAUGCACUGACAAGAUAUGAAGGUUUUAAGUUUGGUAGAGGCGGGGUUCCCCCCCCCCCAUAUCCAUAUACUGGUACCUUGUUGGUUUGAUGAAAAGUACUGUGUAGUAGAAUGAUCCUACCCUUCCUGCUCUCACUGGCUGUGCUGUGGACUUACUAGCUUAGCUAUUGCUUUGUUUUCUUUAUAGCCUUCAGAAUGAUACAACUCUGUAGAAAACUAGAAUGUUGUAUGCAGGGGCAGAUCCAGGAUUUUUCGAAGGGGGGGGGGGGCACAUUUUCCCC